rnacentral:ncRNA from 1 species
AGGUGCCCGGCGAUUUUUGCCGGGAGAAUAGGGAAGACGGGUGAGAAUCCCGCGCGGUCGCGCCGCUGUAAAGGAAGAGCUGCAUUCAAAACAUCACUGUGCAACACGGGAAGAUAGAAUGCGGUGAGGACGCCUGAGCCAGAAGACCUGCCUGAACGC